rnacentral:lncRNA from 1 species
CAUUCUUUACAGGAUGUCAACUACCCAUGGUACUAAACCUAUUAAAGCGAUAGCAACAAAUAUCACCAAACAUUCCAAGUACGACUCACAAUAGUUUUUUACUCUUAUGCUUCUUUGACAGUCAAUUAUGCAAUGAAGAGUUCUUAAUGCUGUAAUAAAGAAUUUGAAAAGCUAUAUUUCUUGGAAUCAAUGAUUAGUUUAUCAAGCAGAUCUUAUUUCUUUAAUGCACAUCACUUUUUAAUGUGAUGCUUGUUGUUUUAGGAUUUGUUGUAUCUUAUCUCAUUUGUUUUCGGAAUGUCUUUUGGCUCCUUGGGUUAUGUCAAAAAGUUCUUUUUAAUAAUUGUAAGAUAUGUGAUCCUUUUAGGGUUUGGAUAUAUUGGGUGGUUAGUUCUUCGAAUAGCAACUUUCAGGGAUAAUAUAGAUGUGUUGUCAUUCGAUGAUUUUUUAAUGAUUCUAAGCAUAAUUAUUAAACCCGGACCGGACCGGCCGGUUCAAACCGGAAACCGUUGAACCGGACCAUGGUCCGGUCCGAAUCACCUCAGAUUUAAGGAAUGCUACUGACCCAGGUAAAACCCGGAUGAACCGCCGGUUUCCCAUGGAACCGUUGGCCCAAAUACAAAAGAAACCGCCCGGUCCAUAUAUAUUAAAUCCUGAGUCCCCCAAAUUCAGAAUUCUCCUUCAUAUCACGGCAUGAAAUCGGAGAGCCCUAAACAGAGCAGCCGGCAAUCGUCCUUCGCAACCAGCAAGUUCACUCCCAAAAAUCCAAAAGCUUCAAAUUUCAAGUUGUUAUUAGAUGGAAGAAGAGGAUGUAAGUUAAAUUUUGUCAUUUUCUUUGUAAAUUUCAGUUUUCUGUCCUCAAAUUAUGUGCAAAUAUAUAUCUCCAGUUUGGUAUUUUUGGUAGAUUUCUACUUGAAUUUCGAUGCCCUACCUGUCUGUAUGUUACAGUUGUAUACUGUACUGGUUCAAUGCCCUACCUGUACGUGAUCGUAUUGGUGUUUCUUUUGAAGUAUUUGAUAGACUGUAAUUGCAAUUAGGGUCUGAUUUAACACAUGGAAAGUCAGCAGAUUGAAAGAAAUAAAUUCUAACAUGUUAGUUGUAAUCUGUUUACCGAAGCUAUUUACUUAUUUGUAAGCUGCCGUUGGUUCCUUUUUAUUUAGUCCGAUCAACAGUUUUAGUUAUUCAUGAACUUGUUUGCUUUACAUAAGCAAUGUAGUAAUGAAACAUUAGAAGCUAAUUAUUUGUUUAAACCAUUUUGGACUUGAAUUUCACAUGUUCUUUAUUUACGUUAACUUUUAAUUGAUGCUUUUACUUUUGCAAGAAUAUUUUUAAAGUAUAUGAAAUUAUCUUAUUGAACUUUUCCGUAUAACGUAUAUGUUUUAUUAUGAUUGAUUGUUGUGUUUAUUGUUCCAAAUUCAUAUUUCACUAUAUAUAAUCUAGAAUUUGUGAAAUUGGGCUACAAAUUAAUAUUUAGUUAACAAAACAAUGUGAGGUUAAUUUAGUUAUUGGUAAAAAAUGGAAUUAUAUUUUUUAUUCAACAAAAAUAGUUAAUAUUAUUUUUGAUAGGAAUUGACCCGACGGUUGAACCACCGAGUCGCCGGUUGAACCAUCGACCCAUUGACCCACUGCAUUGUCCGAGUUGACAUCCGGAUUGGGUCUGAUAACUAUGAUUCUAAGUACAUGGUGUGAGUAUUGUUCUAUGUGACCGAUUGGUUAUAUAUCUUCUUUUCCUUCUUGCCUUUCAAGAAGUUAAGUGCUCAAGAUGUUUUAGAAAAUGGCAAAAAAAUAUGUGCUCAUCAUUCUUUCAAGCUUAUAUGUUUGAGUAUGACUCUACUCAUGGACCCUAUAAGGGAAUCAUCAAUGUUGUAGAUGAAUCCAUGCUCCCGUUUGGCCCCCCAUUAAAUUAAAUUUUAUUUUUCUCUCUCCUAUUUUUAAUCACACAAGUUUUCAUAAAAUAAUAUUACUCGUAAAUUGAAAUUUUUUUCCUCCUUUUUCAACCACUCAUUUUCAAAAGAAACCUAUCCACCCAUUUUAAUUUGAAAAAAUGGGGACCAAACAUGAGCUAUUUUUGAAAACAAUGGAAGAACAUUAAAUUUAGUAGCAAAACGUAUCACCAUAAUUUCGAAUCAGAAGUUUGAUAAUUUUUCUUUACUAGCAUACUGAUUGAUACUAGAUAUAUAUAUUUGAGUCUUUUGUCUGCCUGUUCUAAUUCAAAAUCCCCUGUAUAGAGACCUAACAGAGAUUCCUUAGGGGUGAUUAUGGGGUUAACUAUCUUCUGGCAUUUUUACUACUAUUGACAUGGCCUCAACACAUAAAAACGCCUGUCGUUUCAUCUCCUCUGAUAUGUUAUGAAUAACUGUCAAAUUUAACACCAUUGAUCUUUUUCUACAAGGUGGUACUAAGAAGGUUUUAAUAUCAGCUCCAUCGGAGUACACGAGAAAACCUACAAGCCAAGCAGGGGAAUUUGUUUCCAAUGCUAGCUGUACCACCCUUGCCCCUUUUGCUCAGAUUGGAUUGCAUUCUCUAAUUUCAAGAACCACAGUUAAUUUCACUUAUCAAAUAGACAAAAAAAUAUUUUAAGAUUAUCUUUUUCUUAUAGGUGCAUGCUCUUCUUCAAUGGAUUCUUUUAAAUUAUUUAAUCUUCUUUUCUUUUUAAAACCAGUGUAGGAAGAUUACUAUAUUCGUUAAGCCUGUUUUCCAUUAAUCUGCAAAUUUAUGUAAUAUCUAAUGAUAGUUGUUGAUUGAAUUUAUAGGCUGCUGUAAAAGUACUACUUGAACUCUUUUCAUGUCCCAACCCCUAAUGUCUCUGUUGUAGACCUAACUUGUCGACUUGAGAAGAGUGCUUCUUUACGACAAAAGAUGAAUAGUUCGAAGAUUGGCUCUUCACUUUGCAGGUUAGAGUCAAACUUUGGUGUAGCAAUAUCAUCUGUAGAUAAUAUUUUGCAAGUGUUGACGAUCUACCAACUGUUCCAUAUUGGAUUCAUAUAGGAGUUUCUUUUUUAAAAUAUUCUUUUUGAAAUUUUUCUUAAGCUUGUAUUAGUACUUGAAUCCACUAAAAUCCCAUUUAUGGUAGUUCAAAAGUUUCAUUAUGAUGUUAUUGAGUACCAAUUUAAUGACAUAGCUAUUUAUUUUGCUUUUUAUAAAAUGGAAGAAGUUUAUGCAUACCUUAAACAAAACAUUGUUUCUAAUGUGAUUAUGUGGAUGGUGGAAAUAAGAUUGAGCAUUUCCUUUUUCGUUUUUUUAUUGUAAGAAAUAUUCAUCUGGAAGUCAUUGUUGAUGACUUAUUCCAUUUAUCAAACCAUUUUUCAAAUGCUUAUUUCAUCAUAAUCAUUACCUAGACAUUGUUUACUUUCUAAUUGCACUUCAUUAAGUUUACUCCAAUGCUGUAUACUAUUCUAUAUGAACUUUUUUAUCACAUCUUUUAAUCUUUUGUAUGACUACUCAAAAAAGUAGACCUAACAUUUGUUUCCAUUCUUCAAUGAAAGUUUAGGACAUAUGUAUUAUGGUUCCAAUUAUUCCCCCAUUAUAGUCCUACAACACAUCUUAUCUCGUAUUCAGAAUAUCAAUAAAAUGGAAAUGUCUAAAGGACUUGCUCCUUUAAAUACUCUAAUAUUGAAUUAUGAAUGACAUCUUCUCACUUAUGUGCAGAUAAAAUUUUACUCUCUGGGAAGCAAGAUACCAAAUUUACAUGAUGAUUUGAAAAAGAAUUGCAGUGAACUUAGGAUAUUACAAGGAAUUAAGAGAUUAUCCAUGAUUGUUGAAACUCGAGUAAGACUUCGUCAUACUUCAUGUACCAUUUAUGUCAAAGCCAUAUUAAUUUCUCUUUCAUAGUUCAAUUUACUGAAAUAAAAUAUAUUAUACAUGCAUGUUUUUAUUCUAGAUGACAAUCAUACAAAAAAUAUUCACUUUUAAGAACUUUUCUUAAUGUACUACUGAAUCCUAGACCAACUUUCAAUUGUAAAUGUAUAAAAACUACAAAAUUUGUAGUUGAAAAGACAUUCUCAUGGUACCUUAACAAACCAUGUCAUUUGCAUAUGAAAAACAAUUUGUUUGUCAUUCGUCAGUUCAUUAUCCCUAAUAUUAACUAAAAUAAUUGAUGCUCAUUUUGAUUUCUUCAUUUUGCUACUCUUGUUUUACUCAUUAUAGUUGUCACGCAUUUUUGUAAAAUCAAAUGCCCAAGAGAACUAAAAGAAAAAUGUUGCAUUACUUAUUUUCUUCAUCGCUAUUUACCUAUGAAAGAAGAAGUUCGAUUGUUUAGAGAACUUCUUGCUCUCAUGAUCUUAUUCUUUCACCUUUGGCACUCGCGUACUUUUCUGGUUAUCAGAUACCACAUCUACAAAAUAGUGAUCUUUGCAUUAGGAUUCUUCAAACUUCUUUAUCAACCUUGAGUAAGGAGUUCAAGGGGGAGGACUUAGAUUGGUAAACUGAAUCACGACUGGAUUUGUGUUCUAUUUGUUAAAGUCUACUUGGGGAUGCAGUGAUUGCACUGCAACAGGCAGUGGUGGAUGAUGAUGGAUUCAUUUCAAAGCAUACAAAUAUGAAGUAUAAGCUUAGAGAUACUUUUGGUUACGGUUGGCAACGGUUCGGUUAUGGGUCAGUUCGGCCAAAAUCAUAACCGCACCACCAAUUUUUUGACCAUACCAUAACCGCACCAUAAUCACGUAAAUCGGUUCGGUUCGUAUCUCGGUUCGGCACGGUUCGGUUCGGUUAAUAACCACUAAAAUAAAUUAUUUUUCAUAAGUUCAUCUGUCAAAUUGAUAUAAAAUAAUUUAUGAAAAAGUCAAUGAAAACAAAAACACAAUAUUCUAAACGAAAAUGCAAAUAUUAUCCAAAUUUUCAAUUGAAAAAUACAAAUUUAACAAACAAUCUUAUAAAUAUAACAAUACUAAAUUCUUCCUUCAUUCUUAAUUGUUGUGCAUUGAAAUUACUUGAUUCAUUCUUUCUCACAAGUCUUACUAGUAUAGAUCAACACUCAAAGUUGAUUCAUAUAUAGUAAAUAAGAAAUGUAAGUAGAAAAUACAUCGAUACUACCUAUUCCAGAAUGGUCUUAACUAAAAUUUAAAUAAAAAAAAUGUACCUCUUCGUCAGCUUCCUUCUCGCUAAACGUUGCACAAGCUCUAGAGUAUGAUGAAGAAGUAGAAUUUUCUACAUACAAUAGAAAAAAUUAACAAUAAAAGGAGCCGUGCGUGAGUUUGUGGUCUGUGGGGAGUAGGGUUUGCAUUUAUACAUUGUCAUACUAAUGCUAUUAUUAUGGGUUAAUGGUAAGUGGGUUGGCCGGCUGAGUCAUGUAGAUGUAAUGGGGGGAUUUUGUUUUAGGCUAGAUAGAAAAGUAGUGUAAAACUCAAUAAUCAAUUCAAUUUUUUUUUUUUUUUUUUUUAGCGGGUAAUCGGUUCGGUUUAGGUUCGACGGCGUAAAUACCAUACCCCGCACCGCCACAAAUCGGUUCAUAAAAAUAAAAAUUAUAUCCGUCCCAUUGUACUAUCGGUUCGGUUUUUUUCGCCCCAUUCGGUUCGGUUAACAGCAGUUUUCGGUUUUGACGGUUCAAAUUGCUAUACUUACUUUUGGUAGGCUCUAUGUGUUAAGUAUAUUAAACAUUAAGAAGCGUAAAAAUAAAUUUUAUUAAUUCUAAGCUUGUGAGCUCUAAUUAAAUAAUAAAGUGCUCAUUUCCAGCUGACAUAAUUUUACACUGAGACGUUCUCAUUUUUAGUGUUUGGUAUGUAUAGUUCUGUUUUAUCUUAAAAUUAUGAAUUCAAGACAAAACACACAUCUUCACUUGAGGCUAAAAAGGUAGAUACCUCAAUUUCCGUACUAACUCGCGUAAUUAGUCCACUAGCAGCCCAUAUUCAGGAAUAUGGACCUUACCAUCAGAGGAAUAUAAAGAAAAAGUGUUUUUUACCUUAUGCUACACACAACUGUGCUCGCAAAGUAAUUAAUAAAAUACAAUUGAACAUACUACACGUUUUGUUUAAGAAAUAAACUACCUUUAUUGAAUCAUUGUACAUAUCUCUCAUUAAUAGUUAACAUUAAAAACGCUAACAUUACUUUAAAAAAUAAAACAACCCGUGCAUUGCACGGGCAAAAAACUAGUAUAAAAUAUAAUUGCAUACGUUAUAUGAACUUAAGUAUUGAUGAAUUAUUUUUAUUCUACCUCAUAUAAAUUGAAUAACUAAGUUGGGGAAAAAAUUUACAUCUUUAGUGCACCUUAAGAACAGUUUUUUUUCUUUUUUAAGUAUGGUGUAAAAAAAGGGGGUUAAACCCUCAUUUGAUGGGGGGUUAAAAUCAAUAUUAUAAAUUAAUUUCAACUAUAUAUUUCAUGAAAUUUACAAUUUUUUCACCAUACAUGUUAUCAAAAUAUUCUGAAAAACCUAUUUUAAUUCCCACAAAACAAGGGCUAAAAAAAUAUGGUACUAAAAUAAAGUAAUUACGCGUAACUAAUAGUAUCACGUGUGAACCCAUAUUCUAAAAAUUCAGUUUUAUUCAAACUCAUUUACAAUAACGCAUUCUUUUAAUAAAAUGAUUUUGCACGUAAAUUUUUUUUCUUUACCACUUCCUCAAAAUUUUGCCACUUCGAAAAUCUUUUUUUAUAAAAAUAGGGCAUCCUAACACUCCAAAUAUGUUAAGAUUCCUAACAUCAGCAAAAUUUGAAUUCAACACCAAAUAUUUUACAAUAACAUACUCCGGAUCCCACCUAUGCAACUUUGAAAGUACACACUACAAAUUAUUCUAUUGACAAUUUCUAUUUUGUGGCCAGCAAUAACUAAUGUCACGUCAGCUUUUUUAAAUCCCUUCUUUUCUCCUUGUUUUUUGCCCUAUUUGACUAGCUUUAUUGUUUUCUUUAUAAAUAAGGUUCCUUACACCGCACCCAUGCGGCCAACACCUUCCCUCCAUUAUCAAUGGUAGUAUCUGUUGAUGCUAAUUUCACCUACAAUUGAACAAAUUAAAAUGUGAGUUAUGGAAUUAACAUAAAAAAUGGGAAAAAGAAAUCAAAACUAAAUUUGAAGAAUGAAGAAUGAUAAUUUCCCCUUUUUAAUUCGGCUCAAAAAAUCAAUCCAACACCACAAAGACAACACCAAUUGGAAACUUUUUCAAUCAUAGGGAGAAGUACACAAGGCAGAAGCUAGUUUUCAGAAAUGCACAAAGCAGAGGCGGGUUUUUUGGUGUGUUGAAAGUGAUGCUAAAAAACUCCAAUUUAUAGGGAAAGGAACAACAGAUUUCCUAGAAAAAAUCAGUUAGAUAGACUUUAAGAAAAUUGAAAAUGGUUACCAAGCAUAAGGGUAGUAUAACCAUUACAAACAUCUCACGUGAUUUGAAAUUAUCUCCGAAGUUGGGUAUUGAACAUGUAGUCCAUUGGACUGAUUUCCUCUAAAGAUUCAACACAAUUGAUCAAUUGUGGUGUGAAUUUAUAAUAUUUUUCAAUUUUGAGCUUAUAGCCUAUGAAGAAGAACGAGUAUCGAUUUUUCAUCAUUAAUUACGGGUUAUUUGGUUAUGACUUACUACAAUACCUGACAGAAGCCCUCUUCUCCCCUCUGAGCUCCACUUAUUUCCCGCCUCACCUUCUUUUCUUCCACCAAAAAUCCAUCCCUUUUCUACUGCUAGAACCAUGUCAUCGACUCCUCCCCUCCAGUUUUUCUGCAUCCUCAAUCGCUCCAAACAAAAAAGUUAAAUCUUUUACAGUAUCGAGCUCAAUUAAUCAAAACACCCACGAACUUUGUUCCCUGGCGGUUACAAGGAACCUGAGAUCAAGGUUCUGAAUCUCGUGCCCAGUUGAGCUCCGAGGAGGUUUUACGGGACAACAAUAAUGUUCUUGAUGUAAUUGACGAUGCAGUAUCGGAUAGAGUUGGAAUUGUGGUGCUCAAUGGCGGUGGAGCAAGUGGCUAAAAGCUAUACGAGGCUGCGUGUUUACUGAACUCGGUGAUCAGGGAUCGCGCAUACUUGUUAAUUGACGAGCGCAUUGACAUUGCAGCUGCUGUUAAUGCCACCGGAGUCUUGCUUUCUGAUUAAGGUUAUCUUUUUGGCCGGAUUGCUUAAUAGGUUCUUAGAUGUAUUACAGUUUUACUGGAUCCAUAUUGGAUUUAUCAUUAUAAUAAUGGCGUUUCAGAUUUCCGAGUGCUAACAGAUCCAGUAGUUGGAUUUGCAUUUUGAUUCUUAACACGUGCAAGUUCAAUAAUCUAGUAAUAGAUAACUUGGUGCUUAAAUAAUUUAAGGUGCAUGAUUGUUGGAAGGCCAAGUUAUGAUUGGAUUUGUGAACCUUUGAAAUUUUAGUUCGCGACAUUGGACGCUAUCAUUUCGAAAGCCUCCAAAUAUUCUGAUUUUGUACUGUACUUUGUUUUGUUGUGAUUACAUUUCAAAGGACGAGCAUGGUGGCCUCCUUGUGGUGUUUGAAUCUUUGAAAUGGAGGAGAUUAUGAAAUGAAACUCAAUCUAAAUCAUAUGUGCUGUAAAUCAACGAUGUUUCAAAUUAGAGUUGGAGAUUAUGAGAACUAUAAUAGUGCGGGAAUUCAACUGUUUUUUUAUGCAAUUUCUAUUGAGUUUUUUGUAUAAUCACGUGGAGGAAAAAAAUUUUGAUAAUCCAUUUUACAUUUCUAACAGGCUGACACUCGUAGAACACAUGGCAGAUUUGAUAUCUCCUUCGUAGUUUCUUGUUUUUCCCAUGUUUCCUGGGCUUGUUUUCUAUGAGUUCAGUUUGAUUGAGCUGACCAUCGAACAAAAUAUCUUCAGUCGAUAAAUCAUAAUAAUUGCAUGUUGCAUUUUAUGUAUUGGAUAUAUGAGGAUUUAUCAUGGAAAAUUUGAAUACUCAUGUGGAAACUACUUUAUACAUAAGUUUUCUAUUAGUAUAAAUGCCACAAUUCAUGUGGCUCUUUGAUAAUCCAUUCUGCAGUCCUACCAUGUCCGACACUUGUAGAACAUAAGGCAGCUAUGAUAUCAUUUUCACAGUGUCUUGGUCUACCUGUAUUUCCUGGGUUUCGCUUUCUAUGAGUUCAGUUUGAUUGAACUGACUGUCCACCCAAACCGAAAGACUUUAUCAGUACAUGGAUAUGGUAUCCCCCUAUUUUUUUCUUAUGUUUCUUGCUCGCUACCCUUGCGUUGUGAUGUCAAGGGGAAAAAGAAGAGUCUCCAGUUGAAAGUCUGGUCUGUUGGUCGGUUUCUUUUCCGAAUAAAUAUAUAAUCUAGCCGAGUCUAUAGAAUAAAAUUACUAACUUAAAAAAAAAGAAAAAAUGUCACUGAAUAACUAAUGAAGCAACUUAAUUUCCUCCAAAUAAACCAAACUUCAGACCUAAUCUCAAAGAUAUUUACAGUUUAAUGGAAUCUUGAAAUGACGAGUAUUAGGCACAUGAUGGUUUCCCUGAUGAUUGAUGCCUGACCGCAUUUAGACUUUUUGAAUUUUUGUAUCCACUUAGUAAUGUCUUGGUGAAGGGAGAGAACCCCAAAUCAGAAUUGCAUGUAUGGGAAAAUGCUUAAAAGACACGAAGAGAUAAGAUGACUAUCAUGGUUUCAGACCUAGGAAGUAGGUACAUAUUCUUUUUUAACAGUAUAUUUGGUGUUGUUAAACAUCUUACUUUCUACCUUGUUCAUAGCUAGGAUAGCACAUCUCUUAUUUGCUUGCGAUAAGAUUCCGAUUCGAUUAGUUGAUUUAUUUUACCUCACCAUUUAAUUUUGUAUCUGGAUUUUCCACUUCAAAAGCUUAACCCACGUACUUGUAAACUUUUCAAAGUGUAUUGUUAGUCACUUAGUCUGCAAAAGAACUAACAAGAGAUUCCUGUUUUUCUUAACAUCACCAGGGAGAGUUCAAUUCUGGCAAAUCAAGUGUCAUUAAUUCUUUUCUGGGGCAAAGAUACUUGAAGGAUGGAGUUGUUCCUACUACUAAUGAGAUCACCUUUCAUUACCUUUCAAAAAAAAAAACUAAUGAGAUCACCUUUCUAUGCUAUUCUGAGUUGGAUUAUAAUGUUUAGCAUUGUGAAAGGCACCCUGAUGGUAAAUAUAUAUGCUAUUUACCUGCUCCAGUUCAUAAAGAAGUGAGUUUCUUCUACAUUUUCUGCCCUCUUCUUCUUGGACAAGAAUGCAUUCCUAAUACUGAAAGACAUUUUUUUUCCUCGUUGAAGGAAUAUUACUCCGUGUCAUGAUGAAUAGUUAAAUUUCUCCCCAUUCUCUGCUCCUUCCAGUGGUCUGGGACAGUAUGAACAAUCUUUGAAUACAUCAUAUAAGUGGAAGAAAGGUGAUCACUUUUCUACAACUAAUGAGAUUUUUUUGCCAAACAGCUUCUUUCUGCUACUCCGAAGCUUAUUAGUGAAGAAUGCCAGCAAGCAAGAAAAGACUCGGUGAAUGAUCUUAUAAGUAGCAUGAAAUGGUAUGUAUGGAAAAUGGAAAGCGAAGCAUUUCUUGGAAGAGACAAAUUUUGUCUCUGGUAAUUAUAUGUGUACCUGUACCUUGAUCUAUCUAUUGUAUGGUUUUAUAUAUGAUCAGAAUUGAUUUAGACAAUUGUUGUUUGUACCAAAAAAUGUAGAUUAAUAACACCCAAGCACGUAUCAUCAAGCUCGCAGAAUCAACCCUGCUACUAUCGAAUCUCGACCUUGUGACUUCAAAUGUUUUUAAGGGAGAUAAAUCUGUCCCUAUGCCAGUGACCUCAGGUCUUAGAAAUGAUGCAAUUGACCCUGCCAUUUCAGAAGCAAAUGUGAGUGCUGCAAUGCCCAUUCUUUAUUCUCAAGGCCUGGAAUGUUCUUAGGAAUUUGCUCUGCUGGUGGGUAAUCAGCCUCUUUUUGAUAUUUGAGUGGAGAAGCAACAUAUAUAGAGAAACUUUGUGCAAAUUCUCUUCAUAAAGGUACACCCUUCUAUAGUCUCCUAAGAGGAGUAGAGUUAGACUUAAAUUAGUAGCCUACAUUACCGUAAGAAGAAAAAACAAUAACCAUAGGUUUAUUGUCCUUCCAACUGAAUCUUACAUUUCCCCUAAGGCGCAUGUUCGGUUUCUGUCUAUUGAUGGGUUAUUGAGUGAUUCUAAUUCAUUUUUUUAUAUUGGUGGGAAUUUACACUGGUAGUUGAUGGCUUGUGUUCAUGUUCAUCACUCCUAGCCUUUUGUUGAGGUUUAAAUACUGAUUGAUACAAUGUAUCUGCGAUAGGUUGCCGGCAGUCUCAAAUUUCCCCGUCUGAAGGCGAAAUGGGAUAGAUAAAUUUAGACGAACUGCAGAUGCCUUGGCUCGUCAGCUUGAAGAAGCAAUGCAAAAGGAGUUUUCGGAGACCACUGAAAAUCUAAACAAGUUUGCAGACUUUGCUGGCAAACCAUGUCAAGAUAUGGCACAGAAACGAGUUUAUAAACUUACUUAACACUCUUAGCAACUAUCGAGGAAAAAACUCAAAUCGAAAUCCAAAAUCUACAUGUAUCAAGGUAGCAAUGGACCUUUAUCUACUCACACUAUGGAUCAUAAGGGAAGUCAAAUAUUGUAGCAUUUGUUACUGUGAUGGAAAAAUUAUUUAUUUUAAUUAUAUUUUUUAUCAUUUUACAUUUUUAUGGUGUUUACAUUGUAGAAACACAAUUCUUA